CGCACGAGCGCACCCUCGUCCUAUGUUGCCAGCACGUAAUGGUGGGGACUCGUAGGAGACCGCCGGGGUCAACUCGGAGGAAGGUGGGGACGACGUCAAGUCAUCAUGCCCCUUAUAUCCNGGGCUGCAAACAUGCUACAAUGGCCGGCACAACGGGCAGCGACACCGCGAGGUGAAGCGAAUCCCUUAAAACCGGUCUCANUUCGGAUUGGAGUCUGCAACUCGACUCCAUGAAGUCGGAGUCGCUAGUAAUCCCGGAUCAGCAACGCCGGGGUGAAUACGUUCCCGGGCCUUGNACACACCGCCCGU
rnacentral:rRNA from 1 species